AUUCAGGCCUACGCAAAGAACCACAACCUAAUAAGGAACUGUAGAACAGAUUUUAUGUAUGACAAUUUAGAUGAAAUCAGUGGUAUUUAUCCAGCAUGCGUAUGGAAGGCCACAUUGCUAGGAUAGUUCGGGUGUAGGUUUCGGUUUUGUAAUCAGGCAAAUGUUAGUGUUUUUUUCUAACCUGCCUAAUUUCAAUUAGUUGCAACUAAGCUGGGUCAAAACGACUAUCGAGAGAAUUAUCGAGCUGAGAGAAACGAUUCUCGUCUGCCAAAUUAUCGUGAUAAACAGUGGCGGCAGAGAAUUUUUACCAGAGUUGCAGGGAGUUUUGACAGGGUGGCAGUGUGAAUGUGUGAGCAGGGGUGGGGAGGUGUGAAGUUUCUAUGUGCGACUGGGUGCAGGGGGUGUCAGAGAGUUUCCCUGAUUGCUAAUAAAGCGUGGGGUGCAGCGAUGUUCUGACGACAGCAAGACAACUCUCCUCUUUAAGGCUCUUCCUCUUCCACAGCGAUGUGGAACCCAAAGAGGUGGCAGAAACUGUGGGGUGGCUUCAACGUACGGUGUAGUCCCCGACCACCCGUUUAGAACCGCACACGGCAGUAAAUGAUAUCGUUGUGAUCCGUGUUAAGUCAUGUUGUCCCACAUGUGUGAAACUGGAAGCUUAUGUAUUGAAUGUGAACUGAAAUUCAUUAAGUUGACUGGAACAUGUACCAGAGUGGAUUGUCCAACCUCACAACUGUAACUAUAAAAGAACAAACUUGUGGUCAGUUGGAAUUCUGAACUUGUACAAUCCCCAAAUACAGAUAACGUUGUUUCUGCAGGCCUCCUAGUUGCCUUUCCGCUGGAGGAAUCGAAAUCAGCUCAUCAGAUAUGUUUUACUAAUGUAAUCAAAACCAUUCAAAUUCAAAAUCUGACAGAAAUUUUAAAUGGAAAUCAUUUUAAAUCCUAAUUUAAUAAAAUGUAAAAAUGUAGAGGAUUUACUUCAUUUCUGGCUACUUGGAAAAAUAAAAAAUAAUAAGCACAUUUUUCUAAUUUACAACUAUGUAUGUAUGCAUGUAUGUGUGUGUGGCAUGAACCCGUCCCACAGACUCCGAUGACAACCACGAGAGCCAGCGGGAGGCAUAGGAACGACAGCAGGAUGAGCCCCCCACUGGGGCGGGGUGAUGACAGCAGUCACUAGAGGCUAGAGGCACGAAGGCAAGACAUGAGUCCUGAACUCCGCUGCCCAGGCCCUGCCUCCUGUUCUGCAGCCAGGCUGCUGGACUACACCGUACGUUUGACCCUGGUGGCUGAGCUGGGACUGAAAAGGACUGAGAAGUCUUGCUUUGAAGCCCCUGAAAAUCGGCCAACUUUGGUUCGAAAUGCAGCUGGUUUGUCCUCCUGCUCUUUCGUCUCCUUGUUCCAGACUGGAGGGAUUUCGUUUGAACUUCCUAAGUGACCAUGUGUAUCAAUCGAAGAGGAGAUACAGUGAUGCGGUCCAGCACAUUUCAGACAGCAGUGGAUCAGUACCGUCUCUGCAGUGAGGAGACUUGUUGUAGAGCCAGUAGUGUGUUAGCACCGACCUCUCUGGUGGACGUGAGGUGAGAAUGGGGAAGUCCGUGUAGGAGCUUCACGCAAAGACGUCAGAGAGACCACAAAGAAAGAGAAACUGCUGAGUCCAGUGUAUAGUUUUCCCAGCAAACACAUGCUCCAACACGAUUGCGGGUAAAUCUGCUGCAAAUAGCCAGAUUUCUGAAAAGAGUUCCUGACUGACCUUCUCAGAUCUUUGCAAAAUUUUAGGUUUACGGCAUCAUUAUUUUCUCAGAUGUAAAGGCUUUUAAAAGUGGUCAUAAGCUUAUAUUUCAAAAUAACUUUUUUUAAAUUUAAUUACAUUCAUCCUUGAUGUCUAAAUUUUGUGUCAUGUGCUCAGUUUUUUUCAUUGUACGAAUAAGUGUAAAACAUUAAAAGUCAAUAAACAAAAUUUUCAAAAUUUGGCUUAAAAAGUGGUUUAAAAUGAAGGAAAAAGACGCACAUUUUGAUAAGCCAUAUGUUUUGGACCACUGAUGCCAGAUUCCUGACAUUUUCAGAGAUUGUUCUUUGGCUUAAAGUAUGUUUUUCAGAGUUUUUCAGAGACAAGUAUGUGAUCGUCCAGAACAUAGUCUAAUUUCUUUGACUAUAUUUUGCUUAAAAUCCCACUACUAUAUUUAUAUUUGGCAGAAAAUAACCAACUUCAUAAUUGGCACACUUACUCAAUGCAAUGUGCUCUUUAGAUUACAUCAUAUUUUAUGUCACAUUUUGCUACACAUUUGUCAGCAAGAUGUGAUUAUGUUCUUUUUGUAACAGCUCAUAAAUCAAAGACCUUUACUGUUUUCAUAAUUAUAUCAAACCAGAAAAAGAGUGCAGUAACAUAAGCAUUAAAUGCCAGAUUCCCUGUAAAUAAGUGUGGAGAUAUAGAGGGCUGAAUUUCCUCUAAGGCACAGUUAUUUCAGAAAGCCUGAAAAAAGGAACAAUUCAUCAAAAUUUCAUGCGUUUGGAUUUAAUUGUUCAACUUUUUUGCACCUUUUUUCUUUGCGUUCUUUGAAAGGUAAAAAUUGAGGCCACGGCUACUUUUAACAGCCUCUAAAUCUCAGAAACGAAUGAAGAUCCAAGCCUGAAAUUCUACAAACUCUCUACUGGACACAAUGACGACAUUUCCUGAAAGUAUUGCGCAAAUCUGAGAUGGGCAGUCAGGUGGUCUUCGGUUAUUGCACAAGGAUUGUGGGGUAUUUCCUUGUUCUUCUGUAAGGGUGUGUAAAUGAACAGCUGCUGUGCUCCCACUCAGUCCUAACCUCAGACCAACACACAUAAAAUCGCUAUUUACUGCUCACCUACUGCUUAUUUCACUAUUUGCUAGCAAACAAGGCUAUCAUACUUCACUUAAACUUCUAAAGUGGGUGAUAUUUGGUACACUUGUACACAUUUGUGCAAAAGAUUGGGCACCUUUGGUAUCAUCGGGCACCAUGAUAUGUGUUGUUGGUUUACUAAGUGAACAUAAGUUAUAAUUCUGCACUGUUUAAUGCACAAGAACUGUUUUAGGCCUAUGAGAAGGUUUUGGCACGUUUUCUAUUAUAUACCUUUUAAUAUGUUGAAUUCAAUAUGUUGAACUUGUGCACCUGUUCCAUUGUAAGUAUGGUGGGGUGAAGUGGCUGCCGCUAGACUGGGGUUCAAUCCCCCACCUGGGUAACCACCCUACACUAUACCAAUAAGAGUCCUUGGGCAAGACUCCUAACACCACCUUGGCCUUCCUGUGUAAACUGAUCAACUGUAAGUCGCUCUGGAUAAGAGCGUCAGCCAAAUGCUGUAAAUGUAAAUGUAUUGUGGCUACGGACCAGGACCAGAGAUCUGAUCAACAACACUUCACAGCUAUGUGGCUGCCUGGGCUGACUACUUGUAUAGCUGCACUGCGGUGGUGGGGCUGCCUGGACAGGUAGUGUUUGGCUAUGCAAGCGGUGCUACAAAGCUUCUUGGGCCAUCUGCCAAAGUGACGCUACACCACAGCUACAUGGUUGCCUGGGCCGGCCAAUCGGGUGACGCUGCACUGCAGCUAUGAGUCUGAUAAGUCUAGAGGUGUUUGGCUGCAGGACAAUGCUGCCCCUUCAUGGCUAAGGACAUUUUCAGCCUCCAAGGCUUCCCAGGCCGGCCUCCUGUGUGAUGCACCGUAGUUGUGGACCAAGCCUUUCUCCCAUGGCUAUGGACUCUUUUCGGGACUCUAUACCGUGGUCAUUGUAAUCCCCCCUCACUAGCUGUGGGGUUGUGUGUGUUUCUGUGUUGUUUUAUUUAUUGUUGUUCAUGUGUUUUGCCAUUUUCUGAUCGCUCUGUAAAGCAUCUCUGGAUUUGAGAAAGGUGCAAAAUAAAUUGAACGUCUUCUUAGUAAAUUCAGCAAAUGAA